rnacentral:lncRNA from 1 species
AUUGCUUCUGGUGAGAAUGGCCGCCUCAAAGCCAUCUUUGCUUUGCUCUCCAGGUUACUAGUGAAUUCAGUUUUUGCCAGUUAUCAAGAUUCUCCCAGCAGAUGCGCGAGGGAGUGACCGGCAACAAGCUAGAUUUUUAGCAGCUGAAGUCAAUCGCUGUCGGGCCCGUGAACCUAUCUUGGCUGGACCUGGAGUGAGGAAGCAGCUAGAACUGGCUCCAGAAAUGUUUCCUGUGUUUCAGCAGCAUUUUAGCUCUUUAGCAAAUUCCAGCUUUAUCCCACGACCUUGGCUACGAUGAAAAUGGGAUUAUACUUAUCUCUGCUAUUUCAGACGGACUGGCGGGAGUCCCUUCGAUAACAUCAAGAUGGCAGAGAGGCGGUCUUUUGGAAUCUUGAUCCUGACCCUAACAGGUCCGGGGGUGCCCAAGAUGCCGCAUGGGAAGCAAGGUCUGUAUGACGGCUUUUUUCUUUUUCUUUUUUUCUUUUUUUUUUUUUUUGGUAUGACGGCUUUGAAUGUAGGACCUUUCGGCAGCUACAAAUGGUAAGCUACACUGAUGUUUAUUUCAUCCAUCCACCCAUUCAUUCAAUGUUUAUUCUUUAUCUUAGUAAUGUUUUUCCCAGUUUUAUUGAGAUAUGAUUGAUGUACAGCACUGGAUAUGUUUAAGGUGGGUGAGAUGAUGAUUUGACUUCCAUUAUGAAAUGAUUAUCACAAUAAAUGUAGCGGGCAUCCAUCAUCUCAUAUAGAUACCAAAAGGAAAAAAAAUGGUUUUUUCCUUGUGAUGAAAACUCUUGGGCUCUACUCACGGAACUUGCAAGUAUACCACAUGGCCGUGUUAACCACAGCCAUCGCAUCCAGUGUUUAUGGAGUACAUACAAUGGGACUUCCGUGCUAAGCGCCAGCCAAGUAGCUGACCCAAAGGUAAAUCUCAAGGCACCCUGAGUUCUCUGUGAAGCCUUCAACAAGUUGACCUUGAGCAUUCAGUGUAGUAAGCUCUCCACUCCCAGCGGGUCCAGCUGGGGUGGUUAGCCAAUGGAACAGUCGGAAGCAGAUGCCUUAGCAUCACUGCAUCCGCUGCUCAACAGGAAGUGCUCCCUGAGGCUGCCUGUAUUGGGAGGUGUUCUGGGCACCAUGCCAGAUACAGAAUACCUUUCGGAUAGCGUCCCCGCCCUCCACAGGGGACACAGCUGUAAUCUUGGCAAGGUAGCACCCAGCUAUUCAACUGUGGUAGUAGGGAAUCAUUAGAGAGAAAGAGCAGAAAGGGAAGAGGGGAGUGAGGGAGGGAAAAUGGGAAAGCUUGACAGUCAAAAGAGGAACUCCCACCCUGAUGAGCUGUCUUAGUCUUAAUUAUACACCAUUUUAUUUCCUUUUUUAUGACUGUAAAAAUAAUAUAGGAGUUCUCUGGUGGCCUGCGGUUAAGGAUCUGGUGUUAUCACUGCUGUGGAGCAGGUUUGCUCCCUGGCCUGGGACCUUCCGCAUGCCAUGGGUGUGGAAAUACAUAUAUAUAUUUUAUGUAUAUAAUAUAUACAUUUAUAUGUGUUCAGUAUAAUAUAUAUUUUUGGCAUGGCCAAAUGUAUUUUUGUAUAUGAAUAUAUAAAUAUAUAUUCAGUGUCAUAUAUAUUUUUUGUGUGGCCAAAAAUAUAUUUAUAGAUAGAUAGUGUAAAGUAACUCAAGAAAUGAAACAUAGAAAAUAAAAGUGAAAAUCUCCCCAAAUCCCACACCCCAAAGAAAAAGAGUUCUGUGUAUAUUCUUCUAUACCUUUUUGCUAUACCAAGUACACAUGAGGCUAAAUAAAAAAUAGCUUAUGCACCUAAUACAUUUCCUUUCUUCACUAAACAAUAUAUGGUAGACUUUUCACAGGUCAAUUCUUUGGCCUCUACCUCAAUAGUUUUAAGUUUUUUCAUUAUAUUUCAUUUUCUAGUUUACCAUGAUUUAUGUCACCAAUUCCUGACAGGCAGCCCUUUGGAUGAUUUCCCUUUUUUUCUAUAAUAAAUAAUGGAAUAACCAAAUAUUUCAAACAUAUAUCUUGACCUGCUUGAUUUCUAUCAAAUAAAGAGGAAUUACUGCAUAAAAGGAGAUGACCACAAAUACUGCCAAAUUGCCCAUCACAAAAGUCGUAGCAAUUUAAGCUCUGGCAAAACGUAUGAUAGCAACAACUUCUCGCUGCAUUUUUAACCUUUGGUAAAACAAGAGGAUUUUUUUUUUUUUUUUUUUUUUUUGCCUUUUUUAGGGCCACUCCCGUGGCAUAUGGAGGUUCCCAGGCUAGGGGUCUAACCGGAGCUGUAGCCACUGGCCUAAGACAGACCACAGCAACUUGGGAUCCCAGCCGCAUCUGAGACCUACACCACAGUUCACAGCAACGCCGGAUCCUUAACCCACUGAGCAAGGCCAGGGAUCAAACCCACAAUCUCAUGGUUCCUAGUUGGAUUCAUUAACCACUAAGCCACGACGGGAACUCCAAUUUAUUUUUUUAUUUUAUUUUUUUUAUUGUUGACUUUCUUAUAUCUUAGGGAUGCCAAGGAGCAGAUUAUUAGUCAUUUUUAUUUUCUUCUUUUGUCGACUUUCCUGUUUGAGGUUCCUCACUUUAUCUUUCUAUUAAGUGGUUCUUCUUCUUGAUUUAUAAGAGCUUGUAUUAGUCAGUGAAUUGUCAGCCUUUUAAAAUUGCCAUAUAUGUAGUAAACAUAUUUGUUCCAUGUUUCAGGAGGCAUUGUAAUUAAGUUAAAUGCAUGCUAAAUGUUUAAAUGAACAUUCAGGUCCUGUGUCUAUAAUCUAAUAUUGUCCCGAGGAUUAUAUGAAAAUAAUGCAUAUGAAAUUCUCACUACAGGGGCUUGGCCUUGGCAGGUGCUUCAAAGUCACUUCAUAAGUGUUCCUUGUAGAUUCCUUUACAGUAACUUUGAUUCAUGUAUCAGUUGCAUCCAAUAGUCCUCUUAUUAAUACUUUCUGCCAUUGUGAUUGAGCUAAAGCAAGGUCUUGAUUGUAAUUAUAUUUUCUUAUGUUUAUUUCAGAUUUUUUUUUUUUUAAGAGUCUGUGUCCUUGGCUCUAAUCAUCCCUCUGCAUACACCCUCCGGUCCCUGGCCUUCCCUCCCUCCUCCUUUGCCUGGCUGGUCUUCUCUGGUUGAACCUCGGUGUCUGCCCCGUGCUCCCUCUCACACCGAAAGGGGCUGAAGAUGCACCACACCAGGGCUACAUGUGAGCCCACAGCAUUCUUGCAGCGCUGCCACCUUUCCGGUCCUCUCACCUCCUGUGCUUGGAGCUCUCAGCUUCAUGCUCUCUGUCCUCCCUCUAACUUCAGGAAAUAGAUGGAAGCAGUACAGGACCACCCCAUCUCUCCCCCCAGGGCUCUGCCCCUCUCUGCUGAAGUGUCACUUUCUCCCGCACUGCGGGAUCCUUCCCACUCAGAUCCCCCUCCUGCUUUUCUCACUACCCACUUCUAUCAGAAUCUCUCCAAAGAUUCACCUCUGUCGUCGUCUUCUCUGCACAGCCCCACUCUGAUCAAUCUCUGCUCCGUUACCUGCUCCUCGAACCUCCAUCUGACCAGAUACUCCGCUCAUGUGUUCAUCUCACUCAAACCUCAGCAUCAUCUGACAGAGCCCAUCUCUGCCUCUUCAAAGGCUCUCAUCAUUUGCCAUGUGGGUCCUUACUUUCUACAUUUUCCUAUCUCAACAGCAGCUCUUUCUGAGGCUCCCCACUGCAUUUUCCUCUCUUUCCUAACAGUGGCAUCGUGGAGUAUCCCAGGCUUACUUCCUAGCCCACCUUGCUUUCUCUUCUACACUCACAGCCUGGGGCAUCUCAUCCAAUCCCCAGAUUUUAAAUACUGUGUGUUAGGAGUUCCCAUUGUGGCUCAGCGGGUUGAGAACCUGACAUAGUAUCCUUGAGGAUGUGGGUUCUAUCCCUGGCCUUGCUCAGUAGGUUAAGUAUCCAGCAUUGCUGCAAGAUGCGACUCAGAUCUGCCAUUGCUGUGGCCGUGCUGUAGGCCCCAGCUGUAGCUCCAGUUCAACUCCUAGCCUGGGAACUUUCAUAUGCCACAGGUGCAGC